rnacentral:lncRNA from 1 species
ACAGGCUUUAAUGAGGUCACCAGAAGUGAUGAAGUUUUUACAGUCACAACAAUCAGAACUGGCAAAACAAAGCAAAGAUACAAACAAAGACGAUGAUGAUUAAUUACAAUUAUAUAAUCAAAUCUUGCACUGUUUAAUGUAGCUGACAUACUGUAUAAAUAUAGGGUGUGAUCGUCCCUUCAUUAAACACAAUCUUGGAUUGAAUGGAAUUUAAUUUUUAAAAUGUAACAAUUUGAACACUUUUUAAUCAAUGGAAUGUUAUUUGUUGGUAAAACCAUUUUCAAAAUAUUAUUUUGAAAUACCUCAUAUUAUGCCUUUUAUCCAUAAAAAUUUGUUUUCAUUUAUGUAAAUAAUAAAGGAUACCUUGCAUUCCUGUGUCGUGCUUGCCCCUACUGCAAUCAGUGUAAAAGUGUUAUAUUGACUGUCCAAAAAUUGAGUGAAUUUAUCAAAAAAAAAGAAUGGACAAAUAAGUGAGAAAAAUCAAAAUUUAGCCCAGCAGAUCUUUUAAUUAUUAAGCAGCUUCUGUCAAAGUUUUGUAAAUUCCACAAAGGUUUGGCAAUUCUAAACUUUGAAAAUUGCAUUCUGUUGUAUGCCAAUUAAAUGUAUCAUAUAUUGAAUGUGCUUACAUCAUUAAUGACCCAAACCCCUGUUCAAAAAUUUAAUUUCACUUCUUACCUUUUCUCAUUCCAAGGAUUACAUCUAGGAUUAGAGGGAUUAUGCCUUGUUAAUCCUAAAAGUUUCCACUUGUUUAAUGCUUAUAUUUACACAACAAAAAAAACAGUCAUAUUCAGGCUGGGAUGAGGAAUACCUUUGGAAAGAAUUGAUAUACAUGUAUCAUAAUAUGUUAUGUAGGUUUCCAUUUCUAAGACUACAAUCAACCUAAAUAUGCAUGAACUAUUUGCCACUGGACAUUAAUCAACCAACAAUCAAUCAAAUCUUAGACUACAAAAUCACCCUGUCAUUGAGUCAACAGACUUUAAAUUCAAUGUAUUACUGCCCAAGUCAUUUCCAAAACUCCUCUAAUACAUAGUUUUUGUCUUGACUGCAACAACAGUUGCAGAA